AAGGCUCAAACUUGAUUUUAAGUAGACAUGAGUGGUAUUUAUGUUAUACAUCAUUCAUAAUACUGCUAAUGUUUCCUGUGACUCGCUGUUUGAAAACU